GAUGAACGCUGGCGGCGUGCCUAAUACAUGCAAGUCGAGCGAACGGACGAGAAGCUUGCUUCUCUGAUGUUAGCGGCGGACGGGUGAGUAACACGUGGAUAACCUACCUAUAAGACUGGGAUAACUUCGGGAAACCGGAUCUAAUACCGGAUGAUAUUUUGAACCGCAUGGUUCAAAAGUGAAAGACGGUCUUGCUGUCACUUAUAGAUGGAUCCGCGCUGCAUUAGCUAGUUGGUAAGGUAACGGCUUACCAAGGCAACGAUGCAUAGCCGACCUGAGAGGAUGAUCAGCCACACUGGAACUGAGACACGGUCCAGACUCCUACGGGAGGCAGCAGUAGGGAAUCUUCCGCAAUGGGCGAAAGCCUGACGGAGCAACGCCGCGUGAGUGAUGAAGGUCUUCGGAUCGUAAAACUCUGUUAUUAGGGAAGAACAUAUGUGUAAGUAACUGUGCACAUCUUGACGGUACCUAAUCAGAAAGCCACGGCUAACUACGUG
rnacentral:rRNA from 1 species